GGGGGGCGAGGGGUUAUCACCAACUCACAUAGGACACGAAGCUCUGCGCUCCUGUUCUUGAUCAGGGUCUCCCCGUCCACGUCGAGGGUGGCGUCGCAGAAGAAGCUGCGUCUGUCGUCGUUCUCGGUGGCAUUUAGCUGAAGCUGGGCGGGCUGCCCCGGGACCGCGGCUGGAACUCCCUCCAGUGUGACCAGAGCUUGGGCCCCAGCUGAGCAGGGUGACGUUGCAGACCAGCUGCCUGGCACCCUCCUGCUCUGCGCUAGCUGUGGCUGUGGCCGUGGCCACGAAUGCGUCCCCUUCGAGGGUGACAUCAGGACUCAGAUUCUGGUCCCCCAGUGCGAGGUAGACCCUGGCCUCUGAGGCUGGGAACAGUCCGUCCAGAGUGCAGCUCACGGGCCUUUCCGAGCCAACUUCCAAGAGCCGGGGAGCAGCGAGGCGCGGGGGAUCCGGAGACAGGGCUAGGGGUCGAAGAACCAAGUUUGAACGAACUCCGAGCGCUCAAUAUGUCCUAAGCACUUGACAUGCACUAUCUUAUCGUAUUAUCAUCCUCAAGGCACGGAGGGGGAAACAGCUCAGCCGGCGAGGGUUGAAGUCGGGAUCAGCAUUCAGAUGUAUCUACCUCUAAACCUCCUAAACACCGACCGACCCCACUGGGUAACCAUCUCCUCCCCACACCCACUCACAGAAGGUUCGG
rnacentral:lncRNA from 1 species